GACGAACGCUGGCGGCGUGCUUAACACAUGCAAGUCGAGCGAUGAAGCUCCUUCGGGAGUGGAUUAGCGGCGGACGGGUGGGCAACACGUGGGUAACCUGCCUCAUAGAGGGGAAUAGCCUUCCGAAAGGAAGAUUAAUACCGCAUAAGAUUGUAGUGCCGCAUGGUACAGCAAUUAAAGGAGUAAUCCGCUAUGAGAUGGACCCGCGUCGCAUUAGCUAGUUGGUGAGGUAACGGCUCACCAAGGCGACGAUGCGUAGCCGACCUGAGAGGGUGAUCGGCCACAUUGGGACUGAGACACGGCCCAGACUCCUACGGGAGGCAGCAGUGGGGAAUAUUGCACAAUGGGGGAAACCCUGAUGCAGCAACGCCGCGUGAGUGAUGACGGUCUUCGGAUUGUAAAGCUCUGUCUUCAGGGACGAUAAUGACGGUACCUGAGGAGGAAGCCACGGCUAACUACGUGCCAGCCGCCGCCGUAA
rnacentral:rRNA from 1 species